rnacentral:rRNA from 1 species
CCUACGGGUGGCAGCAGUGGGGAAUAUUGGGCAAUGGGCGCAAGCCUGACGCAGCAACGCCGCGUGAAGGAAGAAGGCUUUCGGGUUGUAAACUUCUUUUAUCAGGGACGAAGGAAGUGACGGUACCUGAUGAAGAAGCCACGGCUAACUACGUGCCAGCAGCCGCGGUAAUACGUAGGGGGCAAGCGUUAUCCGGAUUUACUGGGUGUAAAGGGAGAGUAGGCGGCAGGGCAAGCCAUAUGUGAAAACUUUGGGCUUAACCAAAAGCCUGCAUAUGAAACUGUACAUCUUGAGUGCAGGAGAGGCAAUCGGAAUUCCGAGUGUAGCGGUGAAAUGCGUAGAUAUUCGGAAGAACACCAGUGGCGAAGGCGGAUUGCUGGACUGAAACUGACGCUGAGGCUCGAAAGCGUGGGGAGCGAACAGGAUUAGAUACCCCUGUAGUC